rnacentral:tRNA from 2 species
GCGGAAGUGGCUCAGGGGUAGAGCGUCUCCUUGCCAAGGAGAAGGUCGCGGGUUCAAAUCCCGUCUUCCGCUCCA